UCAGUGAACGUUGCCACCAUGUAGCUUCUCUCAGUUUCUGAUCAUUCAACAUAAAACUUUUAAUCUUAAAUGUUGUUGUCUCUCUGCUCCUCCACUGGCCACAGUAGCAGACUAAGUGAGUCUGGCUGGUGUUUAAUGAGCUGAACCAGUCACAGCUGAGUAGAAGUGAAUACAGGGACGUGUUGAAGACGAACACAUCUCAGCUGCUCAGAUGAGUUUAUGCAACUUUUACAACAGCCCCUUGUACAUAAUCUAUAAAUCAGUCAAUCAGUCUGUUGGAGUCACUUCCUGGUUGUGUUGAGUUGUGACUCGUUGCUGUGUUUUUACUUUCACUUUCAUCGUGGAUCGAGUCUCACAAACAGUUGAACUUAAUACUGUAUAAAUGAUGGAUUGAACUCAUUUAAAACUCAUUUAAAACCAGGAUAGUCGAAGCUUCCACGUGAACCGUUUGUUCCUGUCGCGUGGAUCGAUCGAUCAAUCAGCUGAUUGGAGGAUUCGGACCUUUAAUUUAAUCUGAGGCUUCACACACGGAUCGAUGCAGGUCGAUCAAGCUGAAUGCAGGGACACUGAUCUCAGUGAGACGUUCCAGGACUCAGACCAGAGGACACAGAGCAGAAAGUUUUUUUUCGUUGAGAGAAGAGUCGUUGGUUUCCAGCAGAGUGACAUCAUGGCUGCAGCAUCUGAGUGAACAAGCAGCUAUGAAAUGCUUCCCCCCACCAUGUCUGAGCUGAGGGUUGUUCUGUUGGGGAACACCUGGACUGAGAGGAGUUCAGCUGGAAACUUCAUCCUGGGAGAGACUGUGUUCAACACUGAGAAAGAACCAGACUGCUGUGUGAGAGUCAGUGGACGAUGCAUGUAUAGACGGAUUGUUCUCAUCAACCCUCCAGAUCUGCUGCAUCUGAACGUCUCUGAAGACAAACUGACAGAGUCCAUAGAAGAAUGUGUGAGACUCUCUGAUCCUGGACCUCAUGUGUUCCUGCUGGUUCUACAGCCUGAAGACUUCACCGAGCAACACAGACAGAGGCUUCAAACCAUCCUUGAAAACUUUGGUGAUCAAUCAUUUGAACAUUCCCUCAUAUUGAUAUCAAAACCUGCCAAGAUCAAAUCAGGUUCAAUGGAGAACUACAUGGAACAACCAGCUUUAAAACACAUGUACAGAAUGUGCAGGUACAGAUAUGUGAAGCAGAGUGAAGUUGAA